UCUCCGUAGGUGAACCUGCGGAGGGAUCAUUACAGAGUUCUCGCCCUCGCGGGUAGAUCUCCCACCCACUGUUAUCGUUACUGUGUUGCUUUAGCGGGCCGCCGGGCCCCGCUCGGCCGCCGGCUCCGGCUGGCGCGCGCCCGCCAGAGGCCCAGCAAACUCUGAAUGUUAGUGUCGUCUGAGUACUAUAUAAUAGUUAAAACUUUCGACAACGGAUCUCUUGGUUCUG
rnacentral:misc_RNA from 1 species